rnacentral:lncRNA from 1 species
UUGAGACUUCAUGGGUUGAAAUUUAAAUAAAAACAUACUUACAUGUUUUGGUAAUUAGUUGAUACUAGGAAAAUGAACAUACCCGAAUGCUUUUCACUUAAAUACAUAUUUUCAUUGCAUACACGACUUACAUUUAUUUAGAAACCAUAAACUUAUGCACCAUCAUACAUUAACAUUAAUAGUGAUAUAGGUGACAUAAGAGCACAUACAUAACAACAUAAACUUCACUGAUAAUUCAUUUUUACUUUUCUGCCUUGCCUCCGACCGCAUUAUCAGUGUAUGCUGAAUUAUUGGGUCUCGGCUCAAAGUCUUUAGCAUAAGAUUCCUUGUUCUUGGAACUAACAUCAUCAAUGUAUGCUGAAACAUUGGGUCUUGGCUCAAAAUCUUUCACAUUGUCUUUAGUUUGAGAUUUUUCAUCCUUAGAAUUGACAUCAUCUGUAUAUGCUGAGACAUUAGGUCUUGGCUCAAAGUCAUUCACAUGAGGUUUUUGUUCUUUAGGCUUGACAUUGUUGACAUAAGAUGUAGCACUAGGCCUAGGUUCAAAAUCUCUCACAAAAAAUUUCUCAUUUACAGGUUUGAGGUUCUCAACAUAAGAUGUAGCACUAGGCCUAGGUUCAAACUCUCUCACAAAAGAUUUCUCAUUUUCAGGUUUGAGGUUCUCAACAUAAGAUGUAGCGCUAGGCCUAGGCUCAAAAUCUCUCACAAAAGAUUUCUCAUCUUUAGGGUGCGGUUACGACAUAAGAUGUAGCGCUAGGCCUAGGCUCAAAAUCUCUCACAAAAGAUUUCUCAUCUUCAGGGUUGUGGUUUCCAACAUAAGAUGUAGCGCUAGGCCUAGGCUCAAAAUCUCUCACAAAAGAUUUCUCAUCUUCAGGGUUGAGGUUUCCAACAUAAGAUGUAGCGCUAGGCCUAGGCUCAAAAUCUCUCACAAAAGAUUUCUCGUCUUGAGGCUUGAGGUUUCCAACAUAAGAUGUAGCGCUAGGUCUGGGCUCAAAAUCUCUCACAAAAGAUUUAUCAUCUUCAGGCUUGAGGUUUUGAACAUAAGAUGUAGUGCUAGGCCUUGGCUCAAAAUCUCUCACAAAAGAUUUUUCUAGUUUUGGCUUAAGAUUAGCAACAUAGGCUGUAGCGCUUGGUCUCGGAUCAAAGUUUCUCACAAAACCUAUAUCAUGAUUGACAUCAGUAUGAGCCAUGGUGCUAGCCCUUUGCUUUGCAAAAGAUUCCUCGUAUUUAGGUUUGACAUCGAAGAUUG